UACGUAGGGUGCUAGCGUUGUCCGGAUUUAUUGGGCGUAAAGAGCUCGUAGGCGGCUUGUCGCGUCGACUGUGAAAACCCGAGGCUCAACUUCGGGCUUGCAGUCGAUACGGGCAGGCUAGAGUUCGGUAGGGGAGACUGGAAUUCCUGGUGUAGCGGUGAAAUGCGCAGAUAUCAGGAGGAACACCGAUGGCGAAGGCAGGUCUCUGGGCCGAUACUGACGCUGAGGAGCGAAAGCGUGGGGAGCGAACAGG
rnacentral:rRNA from 1 species